UAAGUUUUGACAAAGUCAAAAGAAAGGCACAGAUCUUUCAUUUUCUUUACAUGACUUUUAUGCCUUCUUCUUCUUCCCCUUUUUUUAUUUCACAGAACAAACCUAAAGAAAGGUAUAAAUUUUUCAUUUUCUUUAUACGGCUUUUAUGACUUAUUUUUCUUCCCUUUUUUUUUUUAUUUCACAGAACAAACACAUAUUUAUUUCACCAAAAAACAAAUGAAGGAAAUAGAUCAUCAAAAAAAUCCGCGCUUCAAUGGAGCACAACUGACUCCAGAUUUGAAAGUUACUAGAUCUAUUCACGUUGGGUUCAAAUUUUUUGAUUUUGUUCUGGAGUUGUUUGUUCUCUUACAGAUAAAAGAUGUCUGCCAAAAUAAAAGAAAGUGAAAGUGGAUCAAAUUUGGACCGUCCAACAUAAAAGUCUAGAGUAAAAAUGGGUUCGAAGGAAUAAGCUGCUUGCAGAUGGGACCACUUCAUAUGUGGGAGAUAUGGAUGAUCCAGCUUGGGACAUGGCAAUUCUGCGCGAAACCAUGUGAAAACUUCAAAGGCAAAUUCAUGAACUCUAGAGGGAGUUGGGCACCAUGAGAACAAUGAUGUUUCAUGAGAAUAAAAGGCUGCGAGGGCCCUGCUACUGCCGGUUGAUGAUGGGUUUUCAAAUGAAAAUAAUAUUAUUAUUAAUAAUAAUGAAAAUAAUAAUUAUCUUAUAUAUUUUAUUUUAGCAUAUGUAUUUUGUUUUAUUUACAUCGGAUCUACCUAAACCAAAUGUAGUUUUUUUAUUGGUUUUGUAUUUUUGUAUGUAAUUAAUGAAAAAAACUAUGUUUGGUC